CUAGGUCAUGCUCUGACAGCCUCACUC
rnacentral:sRNA from 1 species